GAUGAACGCUAGCGGCGGGCUUAACACAUGCAAGUCGAGGGGUAGAGGAAGCUUGCUUCCUUGAGACCGGCGCACGGGUGCGUAACGCGUAUACAAUCUACCUUUUACAGAGGGAUAGCCCAGAGAAAUUUGGAUUAAUACCUCAUAGUAUCUUCGAGACGCAUGGUUUGAUUAUUAAAGUUCCAACGGUAAAAGAUGAGUAUGCGUACCAUUAGCUAGAAGGUAAGGUAACGGCUUAACAAGGCAACGAUGGGUAGGGGUCCUGAGAGGGACAUACCCCACACUGGUACUGAGACAAGGACCAGACUCGUACGGGAAGCAGCAGUGAGGAAUAUUGGACAAUGGGCGCAACCCUGAUCCAGCCAUGCCGCGUGCAGGAAGACGGUCCUAUGGAUUGUAAUUGCUUUUAUACAGGAAGAAACACUCCCUCGUGAGGGAAAUUGACGGUACUGUAUGAAUAAGCAUCGGCUAACUCCGUGCCAGCCGCCGCGGUAA
rnacentral:rRNA from 1 species